rnacentral:rRNA from 1 species
AUGACUGGCGCGCUCGAGCCCAGAUCUGGCCCAAGCCGCCCACGACCACCUCCUCCUGCCCACCGCGCCGCAAUACUACAACGUAGCACCGGCGCGACGGUCGCACACCAAGGACCGAAGCAGCCCUGGCCCGAGCAUCCUUUGACGGCGAGCCCCAAGGCCGAGGCGGGCGCGCGCAGAAGGAGCGAGCAGGGGAAAUGCCCCGCCGCCGCCGUCACUGGAGCCAGUCCGGCUUCGCCGGCGGCGCCUCUGGCGGCGGCGAGACGGGAGAGGGGAGGGGAGGGAGGCGGCGGCGGCGGCUAG